CAAGGUGAAGGAUGCAGAUGUUGAGUAAGGAGGCAGCCACAAAAGAACGAUUCAUUAAAUGCCAAAUGUACUCUCUACUUACGGUAAGUCCUUGGAAAACGAUGCAUGUCAAUUCUGAAUAUAAAUCAGUACACCUUGCCAGAACAUUGUAUCCUUGUGAACAUAAAAGAAAAAUGAUUGUGCUGAACAUAUUUUCGUCACAUUUUUAUAGUGUGUACACCCUGACAUUGCCAACUACUGUAGCGGGUGUGCUCUUAUACACUUUAUUAUAUUGCAGCAAAGAAAAAAAAAGUAUGUUCUUUGAUCUUUCAAGGUUUCAGUGUACUGUAUUGUGAUUUUUGACGAAGGAAUCUACCCACUGAAUGAUUAGUCUUUUCUUUCAUCGCUCACACACAAACGUUUGUUUCUACCUCAUUCUGUGUUUUAUUAAUCAACAGCAGAAUAUGCGUUACAUUUUAUUUUGGACGAAAUAAAACAAGUGUGGUCAGACUGACGCUUUACAAGUGCAGUCAACGAACUACAAAAAUGGCUGAAGAACUACAAGAGACCGGAAAGACGUACCGCACAGCUGCUGCUUGAAUUUACGUGGCAGGUGGAACCAAUCAAAAGUAAAUACAGUAACGGACACCGGAACGUUUGUCUUGUUUUGAACCCUUGCUUCGAACAUUUGAAAGCAACUACAAACAUCGAGGGGGAAAAAAAGGAACUUUCUGCUGUUGCCGAACCACGAAUAUGCGAGGGGCUGCUGUCGAGUUUUAUAGCAGGCUUGCGUGAACAUGAUUGGCUAUUACCGGCAUAUGCUCGUAAGGACGCGACUCCACCACGGCGCUGAUGGGAUUCGCAAGCGUCUGUUUUCGCGUGCGCCGACAUUUUGG